GCCCUCUUAGCUCAGCCUGGAUAGAGCAACGGACUUCUAAUCCGUAGGCCGUGGGUUCGAAUCCCGCAGAGGGCGCCA
rnacentral:tRNA from 1 species